CUGAAGUUAAGCAUCAUUGGGCGCGGUCAGUACUUGGGUGGGUGACCACCUGGGAACACUGCGUGCCGUU